rnacentral:ncRNA from 1 species
CUUAUCAAGAGCGGCUGAGGGAACAGGCCCUGUGAAGCCCGGCAACCAUCGCAUCCUUAAGCGUAGAUGCGCGAAGGUGCUAAUUCCUGCAGAUUUUUUCUGGAAGAUGAGG